rnacentral:rRNA from 1 species
UACGAAGGGGGCUAGCGUUGUUCGGAUUUACUGGGCGUAAAGGGCGUGUAGGCGGAUUUUUAAGUCAGGGGUGAAAUCCCAAGGCUCAACCUUGGAACUGCCUUUGAUACUGGGAAUCUUGAGUCCGGGAGAGGUGAGUGGAACUGCGAGUGUAGAGGUGAAAUUCGUAGAUAUUCGCAAGAACACCAGUGGCGAAGGCGGCUCACUGGCCCGGAACUGACGCUGAGGCGCGAAAGCGUGGGGAGCAAACAGG